rnacentral:rRNA from 1 species
GACGAACGCUGGCGGCGUGCUUAACACAUGCAGGUCGAACGGAAAGGCCCUGCUUUUGUGGGGUGCUCGAGUGGCGAACGGGUGAGUAACACGUGAGUAACCUGCCCUUGACUUUGGGAUAACUUCAGGAAACUGGGGCUAAUACCGGAUAGGAGCUCCUGCUGCAUGGUGGGGGUUGGAAAGUUUCGGCGGUUGGGGAUGGACUCGCGGCUUAUCAGCUUGUUGGUGGGGUAGUGGCUUACCAAGGCUUUGACGGGUAGCCGGCCCGAGAGGGUGACCGGCAACAUUGGGACUGAGAUACGGCCCAGACUCCUACGGGAGGCAGCAGUGGGGAAUAUUGCACAAUGGGCGGAAGCCUGAUGCAGCAACGCCGCGUGCGGGAUGACGGCCUUCGGGUUGUAAACCGCUUUCGCCUGUGACGAAGCGUGAGUGACGGUAAUGGGUAAAGAAGCACCGGCUAACUACGUG